GGAUAUAGCUCAGUUGGUAGAGUGCUUGCCUUGCAUGCACAAGGCCCUGGGUUCAACCCCCAGCACCA
rnacentral:tRNA from 1 species